AAAAAAAAGUGAAGUAAAAAAUGAUGAGUUUGAGGUUGGAAGACAACUCUGAAACUCUGAGGGACAGUAGACCAUGAAGGGGCAGAUUUGAAGAACCAGCCUGAUAGUAUAAGCAGCCAUGAAGUUGUGUCCGAAAUCGCAUACUGUGACUGUACCUACUGCAUUCGACUCAAUAUCCUCUGCUCGGCCAUUGAUACAUCCUGUUGCAUUAUGGGAUAGCACGGUAUCCACAGGGUCCAGAGGUUCCAUACUGCAGAAUCUCAAUGGAAGCAGGAGGUCAUCCGGGUAUUUCUCACCUACUGUUUUAUGAAUACUGAGAAUUUGGAUGUACUACUACUUUGGUGUACUGCUUUUCGCCUACUAUGUAGAAGGGAUAUUCGGAUGCAGCCUUAGGCCGUGUCCACCAAAGCACUUUUUCCUGAGGCCUGCAUAUUUUUUCAGUUGUUUGCAAUGGGAGCAGCGUGUAUUUUUAAAAAAGUGUUGUUGUUUUUCUGGUCACCGAGAGUUGAAAAAUGUCCAACUUGGGGUAAAACGCAGACAUCUUACCCUGCUGUCCAAUCACAGUGGAGGAGGGGUGGGACAAAUACCACACUGACCAACCGCCCACAAAAUCUCAUGAACCCCCAUAGACCGGCGGGUCCGUUCUCUCUUUCUACGUGCUUCAGCCAUCCCUUCAUCCAAUCAACCAAACUGUCUCCGCUGAAAAAACGCUGCACCUUUAAAGAACUCUCAAGCGCCCCCAGCUGGGUGUUUUCUGAAGACGGCCAGGCGUUUUCCGCGGGCUAAAAACGCUUUGGUGGACACACAGCCUUGAGGGUCUUUCACACUGUGCGCGAUGAAGUGACGUGAAAGUACGACGUGAUGACGCUCUUGAAUUGAAACAGUAGAUCUGUAUGGAGCUAUUCACACCGGGCGCGAUCAUUCACGGGGUGACAAAGUGAGUUCUUUUUUUUUUUCGACCAGUAUGCCGAUUUCUUUUCCCAUUGCUCCACGAUGAAACAGGCCGUCCAAUUAGAUUUGAGCUUUACAUCACCUGUGUAAGUAACUCUGUUUUUUCCUUGCUUGUUGUUACAGUAAAAUCCUUUUGUGAUUUUUGUCUUUUCUCUUGAAGAAACUGUUUGAGGACAUUUUGCACUGUGAAUUUUCUGUGCAAUUAUUUCUUUGGAUUUACCACCUGAACUGUGUGGAUAACCUUUUGUUUCUUGUUUUUUUAUUUUAUUUUUUUUUCCUUUUCUGUAUUUGCCUGUGGUUCACUGCUACAGCAUCUGACUCUCAAGCUAUUGGCCCUGACACUGAAAUACUCAACAACAACAAAAUACUCCAUUUAUUCCAUAUUCAAUAUUCCAUUUUAAAAUUUGUUCAUUUAUUAUGAUUAUUAUUAUUAUUUUUAAAAGUUUUUUAGCAUUUGCAGUUAAAGGAGUCCUGAAAUGCUGCAGCAUUCUCACCGCACUUCCCGUGUCCCUGCCUCAUGUAGAUUUAGAUCCCAAAUGAACAAUCCAGAGGCCAAGUGUAAAUAAAUCCAGAAGUUAGUAGUGUAAAUAAAGUUCAGUAGUCUGUGGAUUUGCGAUAGUUUAUCACGGACUAAAAUUCUUAUGCGCUUUUGUUUCAGCUUGGAAUGGGGUUGGAAAGAGUGCUUAUUUCUGGCACCAUUCUGUGUAAACUCUAGAGACUGUUGUCUGUGAAAAUCCCAGGACAUCCCAACUUUUCCAAAUAAAGUGGCCACUGAAUGUGUAUAUACUGUGUCCUCUAUAUUUUUGUGCUUCUUUUCAAACUGCUGCUUAUGCUUAUGUCCAAGGGCACCUACGCACUUAAAGGAAAAUGCUACCUGCCCACUCCCACAUUCAUUUGGUUACACAAAAUCAAACCCACGAUUUUAGCAUUAAUAAAAACAGAAGCUCUAGCACUGCACCGGCUCUUACUUAGCUCUUGCAGCACUCGCUGAUUAAAGUAAAAACACACGCUCAUCCAUACUGUACUGUACAGCAUAUAUUCAAUUCAAUUUUAUUUGUAUAGCGCUUUUUACAAUAGACAUUGUCUCAAAGCAGCUUUACAGAAAUAUCAACACGGUAUACAGAUAUUAAAGGUGCGAAUUUAUCCCGACUGAGCAAGCCACUGAGUGGUGACGGUGGUGAGGGAAAACUCCCUAAGAUGUUAAGAGGAAGAAACCUUGAGAGGAACCAGACUCAGAAGGGAACCCGUCCUCUUCUGGGUAACAACGGAUAGUGUGAAAAAGUUCAUUAUGGUUUUAUAUGAAGUCUGUUUGG